rnacentral:rRNA from 1 species
AAGUCGUAACAAGGUCUCCGUUGGUGAACCAGCGGAGGGAUCAUUACUGAGUACUACACUCUCUACCCUUUGUGAACUAUUAUACCUGUUGCUUCGGCGGCGCCCGCAAGGGUGCCCGCCGGUCUCAUCAGAAUCUCUGUUUUCGAACCCGACGAUACUUCUGAGUGUUCUUAGCGAACUGUCAAAACUUUUAACAACGGAUCUCUUGGCUCCAGCAUCGAUGAAGAACGCAGCGAAACGCGAUAUGUAAUGUGAAUUGCAGAAUUCAGUGAAUCAUCGAAUCUUUGAACGCACAUGGCGCCUUCCAGCAUCCUGGGAGGCAUGCCUGUCCGAGCGUCGUUUCAACCCUCGAGCCCCUGUGGCCCGGCGUUGGGGAUCUGCCACGGCAGGCCCCUAAAACCAGUGGUGGACCCGAAGGGCCCUCUCCUUUGCGCAGUAGCAUUCGCCUCGCAUCGGGAGUCCUCGGCGUCCUGCCUCUAAACCCCCACAAGCCCGCUUCGGCGGCACCAAGGUUGACCUCGGAUCAGGUAGGAAUACCCGCUGAACUUAA